CACGAUUACUUUUCAACUUCCCGGUAUGGUUUCAUCUCAGCCGUCUCCGUCCCUUUUUUCUGCUGCCGAAAUCCUGUAAUUGAUUCAAUAACAAGCGCGAUCCGAGGCGUCGUUCUCGGUCCAAUCACAUUCAAAAUCUUGUACCAGUAUCCGACGUGAUUUGAGGCGUGACCCUCUGUACGGUUCAAUCUUAGCCGUUUAUUUUCUUUCUUACGACCCGAUCUCCAUCCUCAUUUUGUCUCAUCUGCGGCAUUAACUAGGUCAUCUUAAUUACCGCCGUCUAUUCAUCAUUAUAGCCGACCUCGUAACUCGCUUCGAUGCGACAGUUCGAUACGACGGCCUUUUCUUUUUUCCUAAGCUUCUCAUUCUUUUUGUCUCUUCUAUCUCUUUUAUCUCUUUUCGUUUUCUCCGACGAAAACUCUUCUUCGCCUCUUUUGUCGUCUUCUUCAUCUUCCUUCGUUUCAAAGAAUGGCGCCUCUUCCGCCAUUGCCUACUCGUCCUUCAUUUGACUAUACUUUGCUUAGACCAUAUCUU
rnacentral:lncRNA from 1 species